CUACGGCUUGUGUCUUCAAUAGCCUGAGGUAUUUUCAUGUAUGUAAUCCUGGCUUGCAUCCUUGCUUGGGCCAUGACCUCUUUGAAGGCAUUGUUAGGUGUGAUUUAGCACUUUUCAUUAAGGACCUAGUGAAGAAAAAGUGGUUCUCGUAUGACUAUCUUAAUAGGACUAUGAAAAGGACCCAGUUGAAAGGUUUUGAUGCAAAUGAUAAACCCCCAGAAAUUAGUAGCUCAGGGGAAGAAAUAUCAGGCCAUGCUGUUGAGAACUGGUGCCUUUUGAGAAAUCUUCCAUUCUUUCUACAUGCUGUUGUUCAGGACCCACAAGAUCAGUCAUGGCAACUGAUACUGUGCCUUAGAGAGAUAGUUGAGUUUGUCUGCUCCCAAAGAAUCUCACGUGGGCAAGUCUUGUCUCUUGUGUCUUUGAUUGAUGAGUAUUCGUUGGAUAGAAAAGAAGCAUUUCCUUUGGUUAACCUCCGACCCAAACACCACUACCUGCGACACUAUCCAGAGCUGAUCCUGAAGUGUGGCCCAUUGAUCAGAGCAUGAACCAUGAGGUUUGAAAGUAAGCAUUCUUACUUAAAAUCGCAUGCUCGCCAUUGUGCCAAUUUUAUCAAUAUUACCAAAUCAUUAGCUGAAAAGCACCAGCUUCUGCAAGCCUUUUGUAGACGUGGUCAGUAUUUCAGUAUUGGCAUUUCAGCUGCAAGAUCCAUUCCAUUUUAUUCACAUCUGUAUGCUCUUUCCCUGAAUUCUGCUGUGGAGAAAUGUGGGGUGCAUAUUGGUGAUGAUGUUCACAUCUCUGACUCAGUCGAUAUUGAUGGCAUACAUUAUUGCAAAGGGAAGUAUGUUGUUGUCAAUCAGACUGAUGUGGAUAGAUUCCAUCUAAGCUUUGGUCUCAUUCAGUCAUUCAUAUUGGGCAGUGACAAUUCUAGUACAUGCCAUUUGCUUGUCUCAAUCAUAAGAGGCAGUUACGACCCUGCACUUGGGGUGUAUGAGUUACUUGAAGCAUCAGGUCAUGAAGCACAUGGAUCCAACUUGAAAUGCCUUGACAGACGGCAACUUUUAGAUACUCAGCCUCUCCAUGCCUACACUGUUAGUCGCAGAAAGUGCAUUGCCCUGAAUCCUUCUAUCUGUUUCAUUGAUGAAGAGCAGUGAACGAAGUGUGAGGUAAAUUUCUUUGAAAUGAAGUCACUACAGGUAGUCAAGAUUUUGUGAGGGUUGUAUAUACGUACAUAUAAGCUCACUCUAACCCCUAAAACGACCUAUAAGCCGUAGUGCAUGUACAUGUCAUACAUGUAUACACAUUUCGUAGAAAAGCAAUAAUUAUUUAGACCAGUCUCAAAUGUUUUGCAGGCAGUGUCAAAUGAACUUCUUUGUGGAAUUCUUUGCACCAUUUUUUCGGUGUUCUCAACAGGGAUUUUAGCAGGGUGGCCCACCCCUGCCAAAAUUUUAUGUUACAGUGCCAAAAUUUCAUACCGUGGAGAACACUGAUUUUUAGUCUGCCAUGUCCUGUUCUCUCCAUGUUUGAAUUGUGAUCAUGAUUUAAACCUAUUAGAGAUGCCUGCUUCGGGUUUGGUGAUUUAUCAGAUGUCAGGAUUUUUUUCACUGAAGAAGUCUUGGCUCAAGAUGAAUAUACAUGUACAUCAGGCGACUGCCACUCCCUAAAUGACUUGUCAAUGGGUGUAUGCUACGACGUUUUGGACUUGAUAAUGAAAUGAUAAAAAAAGAAAUUAAAACCUACAUACAAUUCAGACUUAAUUUCCCUUGAAACAACUCUCCGGAGCCACAAUUAGAAAAAGGGAAAUACAAUUUUUACCUGCAACUUUUUAAUUUUAAUCCCGAUGGUAGUUAUAGCCUUCUGUCUGCUAUUUCAGAAAGCACAAUGGACAAAAGAGGCAGCGGAGUUAACACAGUUCCUAUCACAGGUUUUCCCUACUUUGGACGAUGAGAAUCUUUGAGAAAUCGAGAUUACACUUGUUGACAAACUUGGGUGUGAUGAAGUUGAAGAUCUGCACCAUGCUACAGAGGAUGACCUGCACUACCUAAAACCGUUACGAAGGAGGAAACUUUUGGCUGCUGUUUCUGAAAGAAAGCAUGGUAUGCAGUGGUGUAUCCAGCCUCAUUAAAGUACAGCAAAACAAAGGGUUACGGGAGGGGGGGGGAAUGUGCCCCCGUAACUCUUAGUCUUGCUUUUUAUUGCUGUGAGGCUGGAUACGCCACUGGUAUGGCUUCUUCAUAGACCUGCUACCAGUAAGGCCAAGCAAAAUAAAUGAUGUGUUUACGGUAACCCGACCUACCUGGAUUUUUCACAGCCAAAUUUCCAACCUCAAACUUUUUAGUUUCAAUUAUCUGCCACAAACACAAUCAGUUGCCACACUGAAAACUUGACUGAAAUGGAAAAAAUAAGCAACAAAAUAAAAUUAUUUUCCUACCUGAAUUUGUUGCAAGUCAUUACCGUAAACACACAAUUUAUUUUGUUUUGCCUAAAUGUGGUUAUUAAAGGGACUUUACAAAAUAAGAUGUGCUGAAGUGAGUUGGGGACAAUUUAAGUGUGAAUGAACCGAACUAGGCUUCAGCUAAAUUGCAGGCGUGAGAUUUUUCAGACUUUUAUUUGAAUUGGGACAUUUUUAACCUCAGAGAAACCACACUCUCAUUAUAGUAAGAUACAAAGUUUCAGACAUUUAAGUACAUUUUCAGACUAUUUCUUCAGUUGACAAUAUCAUCCCUGAAAUUGUCAUCUUUCAUGGCCCUUAAAUGUUUGGAUUAAAAAAUAACGCAAUGUGGUAAAUGCAUGCAGUCUGAAUCUGAUCAAAUUUUAUUGAGCUUAAAAAUCAGGAGACAGUGGAUUGAAAGGAGGUGUGGUGGGGGGGGGAAGUUUGCAGCUAUUGGUUUUGUGGUAUAGGUACAUGUUGGUUUCUUGUGAAGGUUCAUGUUGAUGCCAGCAUUGAGGGAUGUCUUUUUGUGGAUUCAUUCAUCACCUGAAGAUUUAAUCUCCAAAUGCUACAUGUAACUUUACAUUCCUCAUUUAUCCUACCCAUCACAGCUAUCCGUCAGCAAAGUGCUAGGCCCAUGGGCUUCUUAUUAUGUUGUUGAUUUUAUAGAUUUGUCACAGUUUUUCAGGAGGAGCUUCUCCCUCUGGCACAGAUCUUGAUGAACGCAGUAUGUUGGAAAGUUCCAUGUCCUCCACAAGCACCAUUCCGGAGACAGAUUCUGAAGAAUCCAGCGUGUACUCUACUCCUGAACCAGCCAAAUCAGAGUUCAGCAUCCCAUGGCAUAAAUUCCCACGCACCGUGAUGAAGAAGUGUGCCAAUCGGAAGUGCCUUACAGCCUCAGAGACAUGUGAAGUUAAGCGAAUGGUCAGUGAUGAAAUGAUGGCAGUGGGAGUUACUAAACGCGGAGCUAUUCGCAAAGCUGCCAAAGCCAUUUGUGACAGGUACCCAUGCUCGUUUGAAGACAGGGGUAUUGGAGGAACCAAACUGGGCAAUGGGUACCAGUCUGUCUUCUCUGGAAUAGAGAAUCGCAUUUACAAUGAGACUCAUAAGAUUCGCAAACGUAAAGCUGAAGUGCUGCAAUCAAAAGCUUCAGAUGACGGCUCAGAGGGUACUGCUGACUUCGACAUGUAUGGAUGCAAACAGGAAUGUGGUUGCCAGACUGUCCAAAUGAAGAUGAGUUGAAUGCCCAGAUGGAGAAGAAAAAACUGCUGCAAAAUCUGAAAGACCUACCAGACUGUGACACUGAGAAAGUGAUGAAGCUAAUGACUGACACGACAUCUCCAGCGCAAAGAUAUUUGCAGUGGCAUGUCUAUUGCUGAACUCAAUAAGGAGUGGCCUUUUCUCUUGACCUAUAAGUGUCUUGUCAACCAUUUCCACAUGCUCACCGAGAUAAAUCCGGAAUCUGCAAUGGAAGAGUCGCUUCUCGCUAGGAACAAGGGUAGCCGCAUAUACGAGUACAUAUUGUCAGGGACACAGAAGAAGAAGUCUGUUGAUGUGAAGAAGUGGAUUGGCAUCAUAAAGGCCGAGGUAGAGGAGACAAAAUCAACAGACCCUCAAUGCCAAUGUGUUUUCUUCCUGCUCCUGAAUUAUUUCGAAGAUGCGGAAGAUAGGCUGUUUCGCUUCUAUAGAGAUCACGGGAAGACAUCUUCCAGGGCCGGAACCUGUUUUACCUCGUCAUAGAGGGUUCUGUCAUCAAUGAUCGCAUUGCAACCUUCCUCGAAGCUGUCACAAGCCUCUUCUUGUGUUUUUACACACUCUCUUUAGAGUACCCCCCAGAGGCAGCAAUCACAAUGGAGUUUAUCCAGAGGGAAAUGAUCGGCAUCAAUCCAGACGGGCCAGUUGUUGCAAAGACUGGAGGCAAGAAGAAAAACAUAUCCGCCGUCGCUCCCAAGAUUGUGGCCCUCCUUCGUGGGAUCAUGGAAUUCGAGUCAGACUGGCAUAUGGAUCAGUAGCAGAUCUGCUGCAAUUUGUUCGCUCUGAGACAUAGACAUUCGCACCCUGUUGCCUUCAUUUGUUUGGGUUUUUUGUUUUCUUUUUUUUACAUUUAAUUUAUUCUUAUACAGUAACUGUUUAAUUAACUCUCAAUUUGGGUUUGGCAUCAAGUGGAACUUAUUGCGCCUAAUCAUACAUGUUAAAGUUAAGUUACGCUUCACAGGUUUUGUCAAAAGAAGUUUACAACUUGGCAAUGUGUGCAUACAUCUGUACAUUAAUUCUUGAUGAUGAUGUUUGACUAUUUCUUGUGGCUCCCUUGUAUGUCAUACAUUUUGGUUUGACAUGCUUGAUACAUUUGAUGUUGGUAUUUUAUGCUACAUGCAGGUUUAAUGCCAUGUGGGUGUUUACAUCCAGGUCUACAUAGGUAUAUGGAGAAAAGAUUCACAAAAAAAAUUUUGAAUAACCUAUUCAGUUACAUGUAUUGAUGUUACAUGUAUUAUAGGUCUGUUUGACUGAAAAAAGUGGCAUUUUGAAAGUUCUGAGCCUUAGACCUGUGUAAUUGUUGAUGUACACUCCUUCCACCCUGUAGCCUUCCUUUUUUUAAAAAAUUCUUAUACAGUAUUUAACUCUUAAUUUGGUUUUUGCAUCAGAUGGAACUUAUUGCGCCUGAUCACAUGUUAAAGCUAAGUCAUGCUUCACAGAUUUUGUCAAAAGAAGUUUACAACCUGGCAAUGUGUGCAUACAUCUGUACAUUAAUUCUUGAUGAUAAUGUCACGGACCGGCUUGAUUUAAGUCUAAUCUUGGAAUGUGUUAUGAGUUUGGUAGCCAUCCGAGUAGUCAUAAUAGUUCCCACCCCGUCAUGCUUGUAACCAGUAUUUAAAGAGCUCGGUGGGAUAUGAAAUGAUCAGUUGUCUGUAACUAUUCAUAUUGCUUGACUUAUA